UCAGAAAACCCCUGAUGACACUGAGAAACACUGCUACUCGUUUAUCAGCACUGAUGUCGUUAGCCUCGACAAAAUGCUCAGACCAUUCGACCAUUGCUCCCUCGCUUCGUCCAAUGCCUCGACAUGCCCGAUGAUAGAAGCCAUUGUGUAAUCUUGAUUGACAGCUUGAUAACAGCAGCGGGAACUUUGCACUCGUCACCAAUUUGUGUUAUGUUUGCGAACACAAACACGACACCAGGAUGGCUGCCACAACACAGUGUUUUCUUUCUUUUAUUCUUGGCAACUCAAAAACGUCUCAGAUUGGAGCGCCCUCUAGUGGUGAACAGGUGAACUUAAAUUGAAACACCAUUUUUAAAGAACCGCAUGACUAAGUCUCCAAAACCAGGGCAACAGUGACAUUGACGUGACAUUGAUCUCACACAUCAUGUACCCAUCAGUCUCUGCCCCAUAACACUGAUUUUGAGCUUCUCCGCUACUUCUCUGCAUGGGAUAUGGCCCUGAACUGUAUUCUGGGCUUAACUGCUCUUCGUAAUGCUUCAGAUAUCUGAACCGGAAGUGUGGUGGUCUUUCUCUGGAACAAUGUCAUCAAGAGUAGAUGACCCACCUUCAUCUUCACUUUAGCUCUCAGGCCUCUCUCUACUCAAAGUGAUUCCCUCAAGUGCAGUUCAGUGUGCAGCCUGAUUGGCUGUUGUACCAGCUUUGCACCAACCCUACAUGCAUCCGUUAGCUCUUUCAACAAGACGGGGAAAAAAGAAAUGAAAGUCUAGCAAAUUUGAAUCCCUCAGCUUAUCAUCGUUAUCGAGGAAAACUUUAUCGCGAUACUAAUCAAUAUUGUUUUAUUGCUCAGCACUAGUUUUUCAUCAGUUUGCUCCACGACCUGAACACUGCCUUACUGAUCUCCAAAAUCAAACCAUAUUUCUACCAUGUUCCUGUACAAACUGGCCUGAAAUUCAAAGAAGUACAUUCUUAUAGACCAGAGGUAUUCAAACUUUUUUGAGAACUCGCACGUGCCCCCCUCAACAGAACCCACAUACCCCCACCUCAUAAUAUAAUGUCUUAUAAUACAGCAGAACAAUGGAAGGUGAUAACUGCAGUGAACAUUAAGUAAAAAAAAAACUUAAAUAUAUCAUUUAUGAACUAAAAUAUAUAGGACAGACUGAUAUUGUUAUUUAUUUAGACUUUUAAAACUGUAAAUAGACGUCUUUAUAGAAUGUACAUCAUAUUAAUUAUAAAAUAAAUCUACCUAAUAAUUGUGAUCUUCAGUCUAAUAUCUCUGAGAAUGGAUGGAAUAUUAUCGGGCGACUGUAAAUGCGCAGGAGCACAAAUAUUCAGAAGAGGAGAUGGUGUGACCGCAGUGCAGAAGAGCAAGCAAACAGAGUUUAAAAUCUCUCUCCAGUUAUAAUCACCAUCAACAUUAUUUGUGAAGUGUUACAUUUUACAAUUCAUUGUAGGCAUAUUUAUAAUGUAUAUUAAAAAAUUAUUUAACAUACAAGAUUCUGCACUAUUUCUAGGUCCCUAUUUAAAUGUAAGCGAAUGUGUGACAUUGACCAUGUUAACUGCUUUGUACAAACGGUCAGAUUUUCCUCAUGCCUAAUCUCUUUAUGUCAGAUGACACUCCAAUGGAUCUGAUCUAAAAUGGAUCAUAAGGUUUUGCAAAAAUUUGUGGAAUCCAUGCCAGCUCGAGUGCACACUGUCAUUAAAGCAAAAGGGAGACAUACCAAAUACUAAGAAAAUCUAAAAUUCAUUUAAAUAUUUCAAAGAUUCUACUUUUCAUUCAAGUUGUUGCCAGAAAUAUACUGUAAUUUGUACUGAAAAUUGCAAUUGCUGUAUUACAUUAGAAAAGAAUGCAAAAUAGAAGGAUUUUCACUACUGGGCUGAGACUUAUGGACCCACUGUGUGUAUAUCUAUCUAUCUAUCUAUCUAUCUAUCUAUCUAUCUAUCUAUCUAUCUGUCUAUACACACACACACAAUGAAUAUAAAAAGCCUACAAUCCCCUGUUAAAAUUGCAGGUUUUUGUGAUGAUUUCUGUGCACAACCCGCUUCAGGUCACCCCACAGAUUUUUAGUUGGAUUCAGGUCUGGCUAGGCCAUUCAAAAACACUGAUCUUCUUUUGGUUAAGCCAUUCCUGUGUUGAGUUGGAUAUAUGCUUUGGGUCAUUGUUGUGCUGAAAGGUGAAACCCCUUUUCAUGUUCAGCUUAAUAGCAGACACCUGCAUGUUUUGCACUAAAAUCAACUGGUAUUUGUUGAUUCAUGAUUCCCUCCAUGAUUUCUUCAACCCCAGUUCUGGCUGAAAAAAAGUAGCCCUAAAGCAUGAUGCUGCCUCCACCAUGCUGCACCGUGGGUAUGGUGCUCUUUUGAUGAUGUGCUUUUUUUUUUUUUUUUUUUUUGCACCAAACAUACCUUUUGGCAUUAUGGAAUUAUUACUUUUAUUACCAAUUACCUUUUGGAAUUUGUCUCAUCUCAUUCUAAACACAGCCACAUCCCCAAUUACAGUAUAAAAGGGUGUGCACACUUAUGCAACCAGGUUAUUGUAAUUUUUACAUUUUUCCAUAAAAUGUUUCUGAUUGUUUUUCAUGUGUAUUUGUUGUAAUUUCAUAUUGAGGGUGGAAAAAGUUCUGACAUGAUUUAUCUUGGUUUCAUUUUUUUUUUUUUACAUACGUAUAUGUACUGUAUAUAUAAAUUUCAGCAUUUUCUCAGCUUGAAAGUGCUGUUUUUGACUCUCAAAAAAAAAACAAAAAAAAAAACAACCUUCAUUUACUGUGACAGAUUUACUGUGACAGCACCGUAUCAAGGCAUAUUUCAAGCAGAGACUCAAAACACCUGCACACCUAUCAAUCAUUCUGGAUUCACAUGUUGAUUGGCUCAUCUCAACAAGACUACUAUUUUGGCGUAUUUAUGCAUUUGUGCUGUUAAAAGGCGACGCUCCUAUGCAAAAUGUGUAAAGGUUGGCAUUUAUUUUUUGGCAUUUUUUUUGGCCCAUCCAUUUGGAGGCUUGUAGGCUCUUGUAGCUAGGUGUUACGCUGUGGUCUUGUUAACAUUAUUCACAAAACCCAGUUAUUGUUCGCUGGAACUGUCGCUUGAAGAAGCCACAGUGAUUGACAAUGCUCAGUAACCUAUACUUUUUCAACCUAUACAGUAAUACACCUAUACUUUUCUUUGGAGUGUGCAGCUGUGUAGCAAGCUAGUUCAAUAAAGAGAUUACUUUCUGUGAAACAGAGACCACACUGUUCCUUUCCCCCGAGACUCAUACACUGUAAUCAGAGGAUAUAAUAACAUGAAAUUUCAGUUUCAGAGUGGAGAUCGGACUCAUCCCAGAGCUGAAGAACAGAACUGCAUUUGGUUGAGGAAUGCAUGGUGCAAUGCUAAAAGCCAUUUUACCUAAACAUUUAAUAAAAACACCUGCAUGCAUGGUGCAAUGUUAAAAGCCAUUCAAUAAAAAACUAAACAAAAUGAUGGCUGUGUGCUGUACAUCUGAAUAUCUGAAAACUGAAUUAUUCAAUCUGAAUUUGUGAACACUGAAAAAAAAAAUUUGAAUAUAGAAACUUGAUUUUUUUAAAUCUGAAUUUUAAAAGAUGACUCUCUGAACACUGAAAAAAGAUUUUCAAGGAUGUUACAGUUUUUCCCAGUCACCGAAACCUGAAACUCAUGCACCAAAUCCCUAAACCAAGUCUGCUAAAUUGCAAGCACAAUUCCUGCUUUACACUCAGUU